AGCAGCCGCGGUAACUCCAGCUCCAAUAGCGUAUAUUAAAGUUGUUGCAGUUAAAAAGCUCGUAGUUGAAUUUCGGGGUCAGUAGGUCGGUCGUGCCACUGGUAUGAACUGGUUUUACUGAUUCCUCCCUCUUGAAGAACUGUAAUGCCAUUAAUUUGGUGUUGCAGGGAAUCAGGACUGUUACUUUGAAAAAAUUAGAGUGUUUAAAGCAGGCUUUAGCUUGAAUACAUUAGCAUGGAAUAAUGAAAUAGGACGUUUGAUCCUAUUUUGUUGGUUUCUAGGAUUGACGUAAUGAUUAAUAGGGAUAGUUGGGGGCAUUAGUAUUCAAUUGUCAGAGGUGAAAUUCUUGGAUUUAUUGAAGACUAACUACUGCGAAAGCAUUUGCCAAGGAUGUUUUCAUUAAUCAAGAACGAAAGUUAGGGGAUCGAAGACGAUCAGAUACCGUCGUAGUCUUAACCAUAAACUAUGCCGACUAGGGAUCAAANGGGAUGUUAAUUUUUUAAUGACUCA
rnacentral:rRNA from 1 species